rnacentral:rRNA from 1 species
AGUGAACGCUGGCGGUAGGCCUAACACAUGCAAGUCGAACGGCAGCACAGUAAGAGCUUGCUCUUACGGGUGGCGAGUGGCGGACGGGUGAGGAAUACAUCGGAAUCUACUUUUUCGUGGGGGAUAACGUAGGGAAACUUACGCUAAUACCGCAUACGACCUACGGGUGAAAGCAGGGGAUCUUCGGACCUUGCGCGAUUCAAUGAGCCGAUGUCGGAUUAGCUAGUUGGCGGGGUAAAGGCCCACCAAGGCGACGAUCCGUAGCUGGUCUGAGAGGAUGAUCAGCCACCCUGGAACUGAGACACGGUCCAGACUCCUACGGGAGGCAGCAGUGGGGAAUAUUGGACAAUGGGCGCAAGCCUGAUCCAGCCAUACCGCGUGGGUGAAGAAGGCCUUCGGGUUGUAAAGCCCUUUUGUUGGGAAAGAAAAGCAGCAGGUUAAUACCCCGCUGUUCCGACGGUACCCAAAGAAUAAGCACCGGCUAACUUCGUG